rnacentral:rRNA from 1 species
UACGUAGGGUGCGAGCGUUAAUCGGAAUUACUGGGCGUAAAGCGUGCGCAGGCGGUUCGCCAAGUCAGGUGUGAAAUCCCCGGGCUUAACCUGGGAACUGCGCUUGUAACUAGCAGGCUAGAGUGUGGCAGAGGGGGGUGGAAUUCCACGUGUAGCAGUGAAAUGCGUAGAGAUGUGGAGGAACACCGAUGGCGAAGGCAGCCCCCUGGGCUAACACUGACGCUCAUGCACGAAAGCGUGGGGAGCAAACAGG